CUUGUUUUAAAAUAUCAAAUUUAAUGUGAAAGAAUUAAUGUGGAGUAAAUGAGUAUUUUGUCUGGUCUUUAGCGUACAGUGUGAUUUAACAGGCUACUUUACGUUGGCGAUUGAUACUAGCAGCAAUCAGCUUAGUUUAGUUGGUGUUUUUUAUUUUAACUAAGUUCUUUUAAGUUUUUGGUUAGUAUACUUAGUAUCGUGCUUUUUAACACUUUAAUCGAUUGACUGUUGAAUAAAAGUGGAUUAUUUAUGUGAGGUUUAUUGUUGUGAUAGAAUAUAACGUUAGUAGAAAGCCAUUUUUACGCGCAGAAGUGCUUGUUUCUUAAAAAAUCGUAAUAUUUAGACAAAAACAUCAUCCAGCAAUGAUAAAAUGCUAUGCUUUGGGAUUCAUAAUGGCGGCAACCAUGACGUCAUAGGCCCGGAGAGAGUAGAAAACCAACCCCAAGUUUUACAAUCUGUUUCCUAACUUGGUCUCCACUAACUUUGGCACGUCGUCCAUCAUUUUAAUAUUGCCAUUCCGAUGGGCUUAAAAUUAAAAUCAACUAAAUAUUUUCCAUGUUGUGGUAAAAAUGUUAUUUCUAUACUGCAUGGUUGUGGAUAUUGGGCACGAGAUAUGUCUAUAGGAAAAUUAGGCAAAGGUCAUUAUGGCUUGAACUAGGAAUAAAAUCAGCAGAAAAAUGACGUUUUAAAGUGAUACGUAAUUAGUUUGUGCGGCAAAGUAACUUUGUUCCAUAUUACCCCAUUAUUUAGUUUAGUAGGUUUUUAGUGCCAAACUUUAAAAAGUUUGUUUUAAUA